GUGUAGUAUGAAAGAAGAGACGUUUAGCACUCCCCUAGACAAGGAUGGAAACACGUAUAAAUUGGUAAGGCACUGCCGUCCAUUACGGCUCUUACCACAUUUUUUU